AAAAUUGACAAAGCUACAAAUUGUAUUGAUCAAUUGGGCGUUAGGGUGGGGAGGAUUAAGUUAUGAGGAGGUAUCACAAUGCGCGCAUCGAUCAGUGUGCGCCGAGUCGUCCUCGCGGCAAGGUGGGUUGAAUGUGUGUCUAUGAGAAUCUUCUGUGUGUGUGAAAACAAGCAAAAGAGAGAGGGUCAGAACAAAGAAAGAGAGUUGCUUUCGUCCGGUACUGUGUUGUGCAGUGAACACGUGUGCGUGUGCGUCUUGUCUCUGGUGAUCUAGAAAACGUGCCGAACGUCCGGGUGAAUCUUGCAAUGUCACGAAAUUAAUCGUACAGGAAGAAAACGAAGUUUCUUUCUAAUUUCUCUUUCGAGUAUAACUUUCAAAAUAUCAACUUAACCUCUGAACUUGCAACUUAGAACAUAUCUUUAUGCACCACGUGCUGUUUUCUGGAUCUAAAUAUUCUUGACAAUACCAAAGAGUCUAAAAUAGCAUGCCAAAUCAAACAUGGAUCCUAAAGAACAUCCUCAUUUGCCUUCUUCUUAUUGGGACGUUGAAGUCCUCCAUCGGAAAGCCCAUCACAAGUCGGUCAAGAAGAGAAGCAGAAAUAAUGGCGACCAACUGGACGCAGCUUGCAGACGAAUGGUUCGCUGCCAGAGCAAGCGCCGCAGAAAGAUUUGAUGUUACCGUUUUACCUUUGACUGACAGAUUCAGAGACUUGCCUCCAACUGCAGACACUUUCGUUAUUAACGGCACCAGUUCUGACCAACUUUCACGGUACAAUUAUUCAAGAAUGCUAUGGGAAAUGGAAUCCGUCCAAUCAAGUGGACACCUCUCAACAUUCGUAGACAAAGCUUUAAAACUCUUAGACCUAAGACAAGUAAUGAUGGAAGUCGAAACGUCAGUAAUGUCAAAAGUGUCCUGCACAGCGUGCAAAGUUGGCGCUGGACUUCUUCUGCACUAUAUCAAGGUCGGCAAGAGUGAUGAAGAAAUUAUGACCAGUAUUUACCAGUUUUGCGUAUCUCUUAAUAUUCAGAGUCCCCGAGUUUGCCAGGGUGUUACUUUACUCUUUGGGGGGGAAGUAAUCUACGUUUUGAAGCAAGUAAACAUGGGACCAAAUCAGAUUUGUAGCUUCGUGAUAGGCGACGCAUGUGACAACACAUACAAUCCUCUGCACGAGUGGGAAGUGGUGUUUCCACCGGUGAACAAACCACCCGUAAAACCUCCUAUACCACCUCAAGAAGGUGCGCCGACCUUCAAAGUCCUUCAUAUCUCUGAUACCCACUACGACCCUUAUUAUCAAGAGGGUGCCAAUGCAGAAUGUAACGAACCAUUAUGCUGCAGAUUGACCAACGGAGCACCCCUGACUCCAGCCGCAGCUGCUGGCCGAUGGGGUGAUUAUAGAAAAUGUGACACGCCAAAAAGAACCGUUGAGCAUAUGCUCAAACACAUUGCUGACACACAUUCAGAUAUAGAUUAUAUACUGUGGACCGGUGAUUUACCACCUCAUGAUGUAUGGAAUCAGACGCGGGAAGAAAAUCUGAAAGUGUUGCACGAGACGGUUACACAGCUCAUUGAAAUGUUUCCUGGAAUACCGAUCUUUCCGGCUCUGGGAAACCAUGAAAGUGCUCCAGUUAACAGCUUCCCACCACCAUUCGUGCCAAAAGACAAUGAUAUAUCCUGGCUGUACGAUGCACUCGAUAAACAUUGGAGACGUUGGCUACCAGCAGGUGUUUCGCACACUGUCCGACGUGGUGCAUUCUAUUCGGUCUUAGUCCGUCCAGGCUUCAGGAUUCUGUCUGUAAACAUGAAUUAUUGUAACAAUAAAAACUGGUGGUUGCUAUUAAAUAGCACGGAUCCGGUCAGCGAAUUGCAGUGGCUUGUUUAUGAAUUGCAAGGCGCAGAGAUGAAUGGAGAAAAAGUUCAUAUUAUUGGUCAUAUACCACCUGGACAUUCGGAUUGUUUGAAGGUGUGGUCUAGAAACUAUUAUCAGAUCAUAAACCGGUACGAAUCGACAAUCGCAGCACAAUUCUUUGGACAUACUCAUUACGAUGAGUUUCAGCUGUUUUAUGAUAGUAGUGACCUAGGAAGAGCUGUUAGUAUAGCAUAUGUAGGACCGUCGGUUACCCCCUAUUCUGAUCUCAAUCCAGGAUACAGAAUAUACUACGUUGAUGGUGAUCAUCCGAAGACCACCAGAAUGGUUGUGGACCACGAAAGUUGGGUUAUGAAUCUGAAGGAAGCAAAUCUGUACGAUUAUCCUAUUUGGCACAAGAUGUACAGUGCACGACAGGCAUAUCAAAUGUCCUCGUUAUUACCUAAAGAUUGGGACUCGUUAAUAGAUAAGAUGAGCAAUGAACCGUCACUUUUUGAUCUUUAUUAUAAAAAUUAUUACAAAAAUUCUCCCGUACGACCGCCAUGUAACGACGAAUGUCGAAAGAGGUUACUCUGUGAUUUACGAAGUGGAAGAAGCCAUGAUCGCAAAGCACUGUGCCAGAGUCUCGAGUCAAGGAUAGAUGGUGAAACAAGAACGGGUUGGAGGGCUUGGAUUUACAAUGGACUUGCUUUAUCUUCAAGAGAUAAUUGCGAGAACAGAUUAAAAUUUGACAACCUGUAUAUAUUCACACUAGCAGAUACCUUAAGAUUUAGUGAUGGAUAACUUGUGGUGGUGGAACCUGUAACAUGGUGGUUAUCUACACUCUGAUAUACACCGCUUUUUAAUAGAGUAUCUGUUUUUAUGGCAAUUCCUCGAUUUGCGUACAAUUUACCCAAGUACGUUUUAGGCCUAGGAUAAAUGAAGACAUCACUGGAAGGG
rnacentral:misc_RNA from 1 species